GAUGAACGCUGGCGGCGUGCCUAACACAUGCAAGUCGAGCGUGAAGUUCCGGAACGAUACUUCGGUAAAAGGGAAGGAGCUGAAAGCGGCGGACGGGUGAGUAACGCGUAGGUAACCUGCCCCAUACACAGGGAUAGCCUAGGGAAACCUGGAUUAAUACCUGAUGACGCGAAGGAGUCACAUGGCUUCUUCGCCAAAGAUUUAUCGGUAUGGGAUGGACCUGCGUCUGAUUAGCUAGUUGGUGGGGUAACGGCUCACCAAGGCAACGAUCAGUAGCCGACCUGAGAGGGUAAUCGGCCACAUUGGAACUGAGACACGGUCCAAACUCCUACGGGAGGCAGCAGUGGGGAAUAUUGCACAAUGGGCGCAAGCCUGAUGCAGCAACGCCGCGUGAGCGAAGAAGGUCUUCGGAUCGUAAAGCUCUGUCCUUGGGGAAGAAACAAAUGACGGUACCCAGGGAGGAAGCCCCGGCUAACUACGUGCCAGCAGCCGGGUAAUCUAGUCUACG
rnacentral:rRNA from 1 species